CCUACGGGUGGCAGCAGUGGGGAAUAUUGGACAAUGGGCGAAAGCCUGAUCCAGCCAUGCCGCGUGUGUGAAGAAGGCCUUCGGGUUGUAAAGCACUUUCAGUGGGGAAGAAAGCCUUGGGGCUAAUACCCUCGAGGAAGGACAUCACCCACAGAAGAAGCACCGGCUAACUCCGUGCCAGCAGCCGCGGUAAUACGGAGGGUGCGAGCGUUAAUCGGAAUUACUGGGCAUAAAGCGCGCGUAGGCGGUCUGAUAAGCCGGGUGUGAAAGCCCCGGGCUCAACCUGGGAACGGCAUCCGGAACUGUCAGGCUAGAGUGCAGGAGAGGAAGGUAGAAUUCCCGGUGUAGCGGUGAAAUGCGUAGAGAUCGGGAGGAAUACCAGUGGCGAAGGCGGCCUUCUGGACUGACACUGACGCUGAGGUGCGAAAGCGUGGGUAGCAAACAGGAUUAGAUACCCCAGUAGUC
rnacentral:rRNA from 1 species